UACGUAGGGUGCGAGCGUUAAUCGGAAUUACUGGGCGUAAGGCGUGCGCAGGCGGUUUUGUAAGCCAGAUGUGAAAUCCCCGGGCUUAACCUGGGAAUGGCAUUUGGGACUGCAAGGCUUGAGUGCGGCGGAGGAGACUGGAAUUCCCGGUGUAGCAGUGAAAUGCGUAGAUAUCGGGAGGAAUACCGAUGGCGAAGGCAGGUCUCUGGGCUGACACUGACGCUCAUGCACGAAAGCGUGGGGAGCAAACAGG
rnacentral:rRNA from 1 species